GUAGGUGGCAAGCGUUGUCCGGAAUUACUGGGUGUAAAGGGAGCGCAGGCGGGCUGUCAAGUUGGAAGUGAAAUCUAUGGGCUCAACCCAUAAAUUGCUUUCAAAACUGAUGGUCUCGAGUAGUGCAGAGGUAGGCGGAAUUCCCGGUGUAGCGGUGGAAUGCGUAGAUAUCGGGAGGAACACCAGUGGCGAAGGCGGCCUACUGGGCACCAACUGACGCUGAGGCUCGAAAGCAUGGGUAGCAAACAGGAUUAGAUACCCUGGUAGUCCAUGCCGUAAACGAUGAUUACUAGGUGUUGGAGGAUUGACCCCUUCAGUGCCGCAGUUAACACAAUAAGUAAUCCACCUGGGGAGUACGACCGCAAGGUUG
rnacentral:rRNA from 1 species